rnacentral:rRNA from 1 species
CCUACGGGAGGCAGCAGUGGGGAAUAUUGGACAAUGGGCGCAAGCCUGAUCCAGCAAUGCCGCGUGAGUGAUGAAGGCCUUAGGGUCGUAAAGCUCUUUUACCAGGGAUGAUAAUGACAGUACCUGGAGAAUAAGCUCCGGCUAACUCCGUGCCAGCAGCCGCGGUAAUACGGAGGGAGCUAGCGUUGUUCGGAAUUACUGGGCGUAAAGCGUACGUAGGCGGUUAUUCAAGUCAGAGGUGAAAGCCCGGGGCUCAACCCCGGAACGGCCUUUGAAACUAGGUAGCUAGAAUCUUGGAGAGGUCAGUGGAAUUCCGAGUGUAGAGGUGAAAUUCGUAGAUAUUCGGAAGAACACCAGUGGCGAAGGCGACUGACUGGACAAGUAUUGACGCUGAGGUACGAAAGCGUGGGGAGCAAACAGGAUUAGAUACCCUGGUAGUCCACGCCGUAAACGAUGAUAACUAGCUGUUCGGGCACUUGGUGCUUGAGUGGCGCNGCUACGCAUUAAGUUAUCCGUCCGUCGGGAGGUACGGUCGCGAGAAGUUAAACUAACAAAGAAGUUAGUACGGACGUGAGACGUGCCGAACGGACGACGACGAGGGAGUAGG